rnacentral:rRNA from 1 species
GUGGGGAAUAUUGGACAAUGGGCGAAAGCCUGAUCCAGCCAUGCCGCGUGUGUGAAGAAGGCCUUUUGGUUGUAAAGCACUUUAAGCGAGGAGGAGGCUACCGAGAUUAAUACUCUAGGAUAGUGGACGUUACUCGCAGAAUAAGCACCGGCUAACUCUGUGCCAGCAGCCGCGGUAAUACAGAGGGUGCGAGCGUUAAUCGGAUUUACUGGGCGUAAAGCGUGCGUAGGCGGCUUCUUAAGUCGGAUGUGAAAUCCCUGAGCUUAACUUAGGAAUUGCAUUCGAUACUGGGAAGCUAGAGUAUGGGAGAGGAUGGUAGAAUUCCAGGUGUAGCGGUGAAAUGCGUAGAGAUCUGGAGGAAUACCGAUGGCGAAGGCAGCCAUCUGGCCUAAUACUGACGCUGAGGUACGAAAGCAUGGGGAGCAA